rnacentral:rRNA from 1 species
AAACUCACCAGAUAAGACAGACUGAAUGAGUAGUCGGGACUGAAGACUCUACUUGACUAGCUGAGAGGAGGUGCAUGGCCGUCGUCAGUUCGUACUGUGAAGCAUCCUGUUAAGUCAGGCAACGAGCGAGACCCACGCCAACAGUUGCCAGCUCGUCCUCCGGGAUGGUGGGGACACUGUUGGGACCGCCUCUGCUAAAGAGGAGGAAGGAAUGGGCAACGGUAGGUCAGCAUGCCCCGAAUUAUCCGGGCUACACGCGGGCUACAAUGGUCAGGACAAUGGGCAUCAACACCGAAAGGUGAAGGCAAUCUCUUAAACCUGUCCUUAGUUCGGAUUGUGGGCUGCAACUCGCCCACAUGAAGCUGGAAUCUGUAGUAAUCGCGUCUCAAAAUGGCGCGGUGAAUAUGUCCCUGCUCCUU